AUUUCUAGGGUUUUUUCUUUUUGCAGUAAUUGUUCGUGAUGUAUUUUACAACUAACUAGUUCGAAGGAAGCAAAUGCAUUCCAAGUUCUUCUAGUUUUCUCAAAAUCAAACAAUCCAAGUAGGGUCUUGCAUUCUCCGAAAGAGUCUCUGCUGAGAAUCUCCCUUGCGCAUCGCAGUGUCUCCUUCAAAAUUGUUGAUAUUGAAAGUGAGGAUGACCUGCUUUGCACAUUUGCUUCUCCUUCUCCUUGCCGCUGUUGUCUAGUGGGUUUGGGAUUCAUCUGAGUUCCCUUAACAAAUUGAAUACAAGUGUUGGUGCAUUCAAAGUUCCAGGAUACUCUCAGAUUUGGCAACCAGAGCUUUGCAGAUGAGAGGCACCGUCAUAGAUAUGAGGUGGAUCCUGAUAUGGUGCAGCAAUUUGAAGAUGCUGGCCUUUCUUUCACUGGCAAAGAUGAAAGUGAUCGGCACAUGGAGGUAUCUGUUGCUAUAGACAUUGGGACCUGAAUUGUGAAGGUGGAUGACAAUGGAUCUGGUGUCUCACGAGAUGGACAGAUGCUGAGGAGAGAAUGAUAUGGUAAUCAUUUUGCAAAAUAUUGGACUGACAACGAUUAUGUUCAUAACUUGGAAUGGUUGUCGUAGUCUAUAGGGUUGCAUGCAUUCCUCAACUGAUAGAGAAUCUUAAAAUUAGUUGCUACCACGAGCUAUGUUCUCCUCUAGGGUGGAUGGGGACUCACAUAAAUGGAUUGACGCUGGAAAUCGAGGUAAAACAGAUGAGCUUAUAAGGAAGAAGAAGAGUAGAAGAAGUCAUUCAGUUCCUCCAUUUUACCAAGACAAGAAGAAGUUCUUUGCCACAACUGAGUCUUCAAGAAAGGCAGCAGGAAAUAACAACAUUUAAACUGUUUAUGAUGUGCUCAUGCCAGAAUCUAGAGCUGUAAGGAGACUGCAUCAUUCUGCAGAAGCUAUCUGCGCGGAGCUUCCACUCAGUCAUCCCAUCAAUGUGCUCAAUCUUCCACCCAAAAUGUGGUAAAGGGUGUGUUCUCUGAUGAAAGGCCAAGUGUUAAAAUGAAAUUUGUUAACAUCUGGAAUAGAAAAUUACAAACUCAAGGGGAUUGCACAAGUACAUGCGAUGGGGAGUCAAAAGAAGUAUGAGAUGCAGAGCAGUUCUGGAACAGAGAAUCAUAAGAAUCUAGAUACUAUACUCAAUGUCACUUCUGGCGUCUUGCAUUUUGUUGGCGAUUCAUUGGUUCCUGAUACCAUUGAUAAAAACUGCCCGGAGGGUGCCAAAGUUCUCGAACAUGUUGACAAGAAGUUUAUUCCGAUUGUGGCGAGCACAGCACCUGAUAUAACUGAUCAGGUCUAUUCUGUCCUUUGCAUUAUCGGCCAUUUUUGGUUUCUCAUGAAUUUCCUUAUAAUUCAUUUUCUGUAAAUGAUUGUUUCUCUUAGGGAUUGUUUGGUUGGACUCAUUAGCAAAUAUAAAUCUCAGCAUACCCAAAUUUGAAUACCUAUUCAUAAUUUGCUUCAAAACUGCAGCUUGUGAUAACUUGUUUGAUUUUCAGAUGGCCAUUUUUGUAUGUUUUCUUGAAGAAAUUUGAGAGCUUAAUGCUACUAAAAAAGUACUAAUGGUUGUGUUUUGGAUAGAGAGAUGGUAAGCUAUUUAUGGAGGAAGAUCCCAACUUAUUUAUCUUUGUUUAUGAAGAAACCAAUGUAUUUGUAAAAGAUAACAAACAAGAUUAUGUACUUAGGGAGCCAACUAUUUAACCAAUGGAUUGUUUUUGCAUAUAUAAUACUCCCUCUGUUUCUAUUUGAUCGUCUGAUUUUGACUAACUGGCUCGGAAUUUUAAUAAGCCAACUUUUUAUCUCUUAUCCUUUUUAUAUAAGUGGACACAAAGUUUGCAUCUGGGGUAUGGUUAAUUCCUAGAUAUCCUCAUAAGUUACGAGCAAUAUUUAUGGAUUUGAUUCUUAGAGAUCCUUUGUUCACUAU